rnacentral:tRNA from 1 species
GGAGGUGUAGCUCAGUGGUAGAAUGCGUGCUUAGCAUGCACAAGGCCCUGGUUUCAACUCCCAGCACCUCCA